UACGUAGGGUGCGAGCGUUGUCCGGAAUUAUUGGGCGUAAAGAGCUCGUAGGCGGUUUGUCACGUCUGCUGUGAAAUCCCCGAGGCUCAACCUCGGGCCUGCAGUGGGUACGGGCAGACUGGAGUGCGGUAGGGGAGAAUGGAAUUCCUGGUGUAGCGGUGGAAUGCGCAGAUAUCAGGAGGAACACCGAUGGCGAAGGCAGUUCUCUGGGCCGUAACUGACGCUGAGGAGCGAAAGCGUGGGGAGCGAACAGG
rnacentral:rRNA from 1 species